ACCAGUAUUGUGCAGACGCCUGCUAUACGCUACGUGUCAUCUCAUCUAGGCUGCGCUGGCAUAGAGCCUCGGCUGGGACACAGGUGUCUCAAAAACUUGUCUUCUGAUCGUGUUUCUGCCUUAUUUCCGCCACAUCCAGCUCAGUUAAUAUCGUAUAGAUCUUGUUGACUACUCCAUGUGGCAUCACCCACCAAGCCAUCAUUUAUCUGGGGAAAGGUGACCCAUCUAGGGGUCGUGACCUCUGACCCUAUCCCAUGGAUCGUGAAGCAGAGUCCGUUGCCUUGGAGAAGAAACAUGUCCAUGAUGUCUAUGAACGUAUCGCGCCCCACUUCAGUGAUACGCGGUACAAGGCAUGGCCUAGGGUUAAGGAGUUCCUGUUGGAGCUGGAACCUGGCAGUAUCGUAGCUGAUGUCGGUGAGUAUCUUAGCAACGUUCAAUUGAAAUGUGCAGCAGUUAAUUUCUUGCAUCUCAAAGUUAAUAUCUGAAGACGUUUGGCUUAAAUUUAAUCUUUCACACCCCCCCCCCUUGUUUCCUGUUUGUUAAAGUAGGCAGAUUACAGACGAACAGGAAAAAAAGGAUGGAUAUGCUGAGAAGACAGGAUGAGAAAGAGAGAGAGAGAGAUAGAGAUAGAGAGAAAGACAGAGAGGCAGAGAGAGAGAGAGAGCGAAGGCACUUCUUCAUCAGCUAGAGCUUCAGAAAUUAGAUUGAUAAGUGCUUCCCAGGUAAUAAGGCCAAAGGUGAAGUUUCCUGUCUCCAUUCAAACCCAAGAAUGGAACCUUAAUGGUAUUAGAAAUGUGAUUUCUUUAAAAAUAAAAAUAAAUGCUUGUGUACACGAGAUGGUGGUAGUUCAUGAUUGCUGGUACACUCUAGCGUUGAGAAUUAAGUCAGGGAACAUUUUUACUGCUAAUUCAAGCAGUAUCUUGCCAGAUAGAGGACUAUUAUUUUCAUUAACAAUGGGAUGAUGACAAGUUUCCCACAAAAAAGCACAGUGAUGAAAUGGUCUGCUAAUUGAGUGUUUGCUGAGAAAAGUUAUUUCAGGACUGUGCUAAUUAAAUUGCUGGCUCUUCGAUAUCUGACUAAUGAAGUUGUGUAGAGACUGGAGAGAGAGAGAGAGAGAGAGAGAGAGAGAGAGAGAGAGAGAGAGA